GACGAACCGUGCAAACGUUGUUCGGAAUCACUGGGCUUAAAGGGCGCGUAGGCGGGCAAGCAAGUCCGGGGUGAAAUCUUUCGGCUUAACCGGAAAAGUGCCUUGGAUACUGCUUGUCUGGAGGGAGGUAGGGGCAUGCGGAACUUCUGGUGGAGCGGUGAAAUGCGUUGAUAUCAGAAGGAACGCCGGUGGCGAAAGCGGCGUGCUGGACCUCUUCUGACGCUGAGGCGCGAAAGCUAGGGGAGCAAACGGG
rnacentral:rRNA from 1 species